GGGUGGGAGAGCAGAGGAGAAACGUGUAAUCACCCAAACAACCAUUUUCUACCCAUUUCACCCCCUCUGGAUCUGUGUCGCAAGUCUGCCGUGAGCUUAUCUGUCUUCCACUGCGGAUACCGUAAAGAGAGGCCGGACCGUGAGGAAGACACCAAUAGGAAGAAGAGGAAAAUCAGAUGCCCGGGAGGACAGCAAAUCGCGUGCCAAAAACACAUUACUCCUGAAGACCAAUUUGCACGAUUGUGUGGUGGACAGCAGCACGGCGGCAUGGCAGAGGGUGGGCUCGUCUGUCUGUGUCGGCCUCUGUGCCACGGAGGCCCCAGCAGGGUCGGGGGGAGCGGGGGCUCAGGGUGCCAACACAAAUGAGCUCCAUUCAUUUCCCCACUUCGGCAUAUGGUGGCCCAUUGUCCUCGACCACAGAGGCAGAAGUGAUGCAAUUUGUUGGCAUGUCCUGUCAUUUUCACAAACUGCCCAUCCCACUGAGGCUCUGGCCAGCAGAAGACAAGCAAGGGCAGCUUGUUGUUUCACCCAAGCCCCACCAUAACAUGAAAUGAUGGUGAACUAGAAAAUGAUGGCAUCCUUGAACUUGACUUUGCUGAUGGGACUAUGAUCAGAUUAAGGAAAAGUGUUUUAAUAACUUGUUGAAGUAAGUUUGUUUUUUUACUUCAGGAACAUGUCAUUCUUACUACGAGUGUUUGUUGUUCAUUAGUUAAACUUCAUAAGAUUCUGGUUAACACUAAAUAUAUUUUUCAACCCUUUGUGUUUUCUUGACAUUGACACACACACCACUGCUGUAUGUGUCAAGAUGAUAACAUUAAUUAAUAUAUGUAUAGAAAAGUAAUACAGUUGUAACGCUUCCCUUUGCAACAAACUGGGCUUGCACAUUUCACCAGUGACAAAACAACAAUGACCAUUUUUAUUACAACAAAUAAGUCAAUAUUUCAUGCUUUUACACAAUAUGAGUUAUGCAUGAAUACAUUUGAAUUGUUCUUCUCCAAGUAAAAACAAGGGGACUGGAGCACACUGACUGAGCUGCCUGUAAUAGUGCAAACAGACAGAAACAUCACAUCAGUUUAAAAUCACGUUUCUCAGCAAUUCUCAUAAAACUCGGAAAAGUAAAAUUACUAAAAGUAAUUAUGUGAAAAUAAAUAGUUUUUAUAAUUCGUCAUAAACAGUAAGUUCCAGUCAGGAUGCACACCUCAAAGAGGUUUCAGGGAAAUUGAAUAUAAGGAUGAAAAGAAAGACAGGAUGUGGAAAUAUGUAUAAGAAACUUUGACAUUUGUGGCAAUCUGUAACGUGUAAUAAAAAAGUUUCUAGUGGAAAUGCAUUUUAAGGUCAGGUGUAAACACAAUCUAGACUCAUGCUUGUUAGCGCCAGGUGUAAAGAGGCCCUAUGAGUAUUAAUCUUCCUCUUGGCUGUCGUCGGGCUGAUUUAGUCGCCCAUGUUGGGUCAAGGCCCUCAUUCUUUUCUUAAAGACCUCGCUUCCCUGCCAAACCGGGAUUUCCGAUUGAGGGGGCCUCAAUAACAACUUUGAUGUGGACGGCGUCCUAGAGGGUGAAGUGAAAGGCGAGAGGGAGGAGGGCCGCACAAUGGCCCGACCUUCCUACUGCAUCUGCACAGAUCACACUCUAAAUGGUCACAUUGAUGCUGCUGCUUAGCUCUUUGCUGCGAGUCCUGAUGGAGCCAACACUAGGGGACCGGGACACAGCAAAGCCUGGGCACCUGCCGACAGACAGGGACAAAUUGAUUGAGAGCAGGCCAGCUCUUAUUGCAUUUAACCCCCCGCACUUACCAGUUAGUUCUGCUUAAAGCAACGCAUCAGUAAACUGGAACGGAAGUGUAAAUAGAGGAGCUGUUAAAACAAGUUCCCCCAAUAAAACAAUUUAC
ensembl:lncRNA